rnacentral:lncRNA from 1 species
UACUCACUCCUCCAAAGAGUAAAACAGACGCUGUAUGAAUUCCAAGGCAUUGGGUGAUAUAACCCUGCUGUUCUGCCACUUAUUUUUCUGUCACUUCACUUAAUAGCACAGAGCAUCAUGUGGACUGCGUGGGAUUACAGCACUUGAAAGGGGCUUUCUCAGAAGUCCUGGGAAGUUAGUUGCACAAAAAAGUGGACCAACGUCUGCAUGGUCUUCUCCAGGUAGGAGAGAGCAGAUGGUUUAAGCCUCUGCCAGGAGGCCUCAUUCACACGCUGGAUUUUAAGGCAUCGUGGUGCUUGUGAGGUGCUUGGUGAGUCUCAGUCAAAUGCUUCUUUGUAAGGGGCGUGGUAUGAAGGGGUCACUUAGAAGGUGAGCAAGACAUUAAAUGCUCCAUUUCCUCACUGUGAGGUAACACUCUGCAGUCAAACCAGGUGAGCUGAAAUAACUGGAUAUGCUUCUCCACAGAGCUAAUGCAUUUUUAUCAAACACUUCCUCAACAAUUCUUAUUCCCUUUCUGGAGCUUUCAUUGCUGCUGACAAUUAUAGGAGAAUUGAGACAGUCAAAACACCUCCUUUAUGUUGUCUACAAAAGAGAUACUACAUUUUGUUAUUUUUGAUCCACUAUCUGGGCUUCCAUGAAGUAGAGAUUUGAAGCUUAGUAUAAUAAAGAAAUAACAUAGAUGAUGGGGUUUUGGU